rnacentral:rRNA from 1 species
CUCUGGCCCAAUCACCCGGAACGCGCCCGAUCUCACCAGGUCUCUGAAGCUAAGCAGUGUUGCGCCUGGAUAGUGCCUGGAUGAUUAAGCGGUUGGGUGGGUGUGCGAGAAGUCUCGGAGC